CAGCGCCAAAAUGGUCCGGUUUUUUUCAACAGAUGACCUUCACAACAAUUAUGUGUCGUGACAUCAUACGCACCAUCUACAAACACGAACUUGUAUGGUGGAAUUUGUGGAGCUUUGAACUACAACACAUCUCCUCUGUGAAUAUGUAUGCAGAGGUGCUACAGCAACCGUAAUGAUCUACAAAAUCAAGACGAAAAAUGUAUAUGUUAACUCUUAAUCCUUAAGUUAAUAGACAUUUGUUUAUAUUAAGUUUGCCUUAUCACCUGGACUUUUGUCUGGAUAAUAUACGCCAUUGCAGCAGAUACUUUUUCUUCCGUUGUAAAUUUUGUCUCUACAACACUUAUGGAUGGAACCAUCGACAUAUCUUGGAUGUAGACUUCCGCCACAACAUAUCUGGUUAUUUACCGAUACCAAAAUGGAAACCGUUAAUGUAAAUAAAUGUUUUCAUAAAACCUGCACAACAUCCAAGGGAAAUGUCAUUCAUGUUAUUUUGACACACACUAAAAAUGUCCUGACUGCUCCCGGG